rnacentral:rRNA from 1 species
GUGGGGAAUAUUGGACAAUGGGCGCAAGCCUGAUCCAGCCAUGCCGCGUGAGUGAUGAAGGCCCUAGGGUUGUAAAGCUCUUUCACCGGUGAAGAUAAUGACGGUAACCGGAGAAGAAGCCCCGACUAACUUCGUGCCAGCAGCCGCGGUAAUACGAAGGGGGCUAGCGUUGUUCGGAAUUACUGGGCGUAAAGCGCACGUAGGCGGACAUUUAAGUCAGGGGUGAAAUCCCGGGGCUCAAGCCCGGAACUGCCUUUGAUACUGGGUGUCUGGAGUAUGGAAGAGGUAAGUGGAAUUCCGAGUGUAGAGGUGAAAUUCGUAGAUAUUCGGAGGAACACCAGUGGCGAAGGCGGCUUACUGGUCCAUUACUGACGCUGAGGUGCGAAAGCGUGGGGAGCAAACAGGAUUAGAAACCCCGGUAGUCC